AGACCACUGACGAGGCAGCAUGUAACCUGCCCUGCUGAGAAAGGUCUGCACCCACCUCCAGCUUCUGCUUGGUGUCAGCGCCCAGCAGGUCACGGACAUCUUCAUUGUAGAUCUCCAGAUAGGAAGCCCGGACCAGGAACUUGGUAUUUUCUGCACACUGCGGGAAGCAGAGCAUGAAAAGACGGCUUGUGCCAAACCCGACUGUUGCUCAGGCCUCUACAGCUGAGACAUCAGAGGGGGAAGGGCCACACGGGCCCUCAUCCCCACCCUACCCUGCCUGCCCUGCUGGCAAACCUUCCUCUCCAGCUCCAGGACCCCCAGAUUCCAAGCUGUGUUAUGGCUAUCUAUCCAAUGUGCUGCCUAGAAACCUCAUGGCAAAGAGGCAGAAACCUCCCUCCCGCGGCCACAGUCCCGGCCAGGGCACCUGGACCAAGCCCUGGCUUUGGGCUGAAGAGUGAGCCUCUGGGGCCACCACAAGCGGGGGCUGUCCAGUCUGGGGUCUGUGAGAUAAGUCUACAGAGGGCUUCAUGCAAGUCUGGUCUUUAGUCAUUGCUCAAGAAAUGCGGGAGCCGUGACUGUUAAAACCACUGCCCGCUGUCAUGUGCAGAGUCAUCAGACAAGAAUGCUAAGGGAAUUUCAACAUUCAAGAAAAAUGUGGAACCGACUUUUCUCAGUUUUGUUUUUCACCCAUGAUUUUUUUAGAGCCCAGGCCCAGGACGUGCCUCUGUUGACCCACGCAGAGUCGAGACCAGGAUCUGACUGCAACUCACGGUCCAUGCCUCUGUCAUAGGUGCCCUGGGGGCCAUCUGGGACACUAGCCUUACCCUUUACAAGUGAGGCCCAUACCUGAACGCUCUCAAACACGUGCUCGAAGGCUCUGGGAAUGAUGCCUCUCUGGCUGGGGGGAUCCGGCAGGCCCUGCAUGGUGAAGGACUUCCCACUGCCUGUCUGGCCGUACGCAAAAAUAGUACCAUUGUAGCCCUCAGUGACACCCUAUGGGAGAGGGAACCAAGGUCAGGUGUUCGGCUGACAGCUCCAGGUGGGUACCAUGGCCUCCAGCCCACAGACUCAGGUGCCCUGCUCGGGUGGCCACUGAACAAGGCACCGCUUUGUUUCAGUCUGAUGGGGUUAAACAUCGUGCCAAGGUGGGCUUAUCUAAAAGCCUGUGCUGGGAGCCAACUUGAUUCAAAUGCUUGUUCAAGUGUAUCUCCAUGCUUGUUUCGUUUCUCCGUGUACUGCUGGAGACAGAACCCAAAAUCUCCUAUACGCUAGGCAAGAGCCCUACCACCAAGCCACACCCUCAGCCUGGCUCUGCUCUUCACCACACGCCUUUGGACUGGUCUUCGGCACAUGGAUUUGCAGUCUCCCUUCCCGUCAUAAAGAGUAAGAACACAGCCCUUCCUAAAGCUGACUCAUCUCGUGUAUUAGGCACGGCAAAUGCAGGCACAGGCAGGUACUUGCGAAAUGUCUGCCGGGAACUUGGGGAGGGCAGACAGUGCUUCUCACCCAGGCCAGGGAGGUGUACACAGGGCAGAGGUCCAGAGAACCAUGAAGGGAGAGAGUCAAAGAAAGGAGGUAGGAAGGUGUGGGAAGAAGCAGCCUCCUCUUCCUUCUGUGUAGCAGAGGCAGGAAGGAAGAGAAGCUGAUGCUGAGGAGACCUGGACAGGUGACAGGAGACUGGCAGGAAGAGGAAGGAGAUCCAGGCCAAAGGCACACAGGAGAGUGGCUGAUAGUAGGUGAAGCCGGGAGUGGGGUAUGGAUGAAGAGGCUGAGAAGGAGAACUAGGUACCACUUCCAAGGCCGUUUUUCACUCACGGCUGCACGCAUUCACCCUGCACAUACUAGCUGUCUUUCCUGAAUCGGGAACCGAGCCAUGUUCUGUGCAGAGGGAGGUGAACAAGGUGGCCACAGCCGUUGGCCUCGGAGUUCUUGGGGUUUACAGAUAGCAGAACUAGCUAUGGGGCAUCUGUGAUGGUGAACAUUGUCAACUUGAUUUAGAGUUACCCUGGAAACAAAUCUCUCGACGUAUCUGUAAGGGGAUAGCUAGGUAGGUUAACUGAGGUGGGAAGAUCAAGGUUAGGUUAACUGAGACGAGAAGAUCCACCCUAUAUAUAGGCAGUACCAUCCCGUGUGCUGGGGUCCCAGGUUGAAUAAAGGAGAAAAGCUGAGCAGCAGAGGCAUUCAUUUCCCGUGCCUCCUGAUUGGAUGAACAUGACAACUGCCUCCUGCUUCUGUCACCAAGCCCUCGCCGUCAUGAGGGAGUGCAUCCUCCACUGUGAACCCAAACAAGCCCUUUCUUCCUUAACCUGCUGCUGCCAGAUUUGUCACUGCCAGACAGGCCCGCUGCUGGCACCCAAGAAGGCCGGUAUCCCAUCAAAGCUCCCCAGCCCUUGCAGAGGACAAGUGCUUCCUUGUCGACAGUGGAAAUGGACGAGUCUAUCCAAUCUAGGGAAACUGCGACCACACCGAGGUCCUGUAGUUCCUUAGAGGGGGUAGGCUGCACACAGCGGUGGGACCUUUAAAAUGGGGACAAGUGACUUCGGUGAGAGAGCGCAUCCCACAUGCAGCUAAAGAGGGAAGCACCUGCCCCCGCUGGAGAAGAUGAAGCAGUUCAAGGACUGUCACUGUAGCCUGAGUCCAGGGAAGGGACUACAGGACCAUUCAGAGUCACAUGGCCGAUGCUCCGUUCUCUUGGGUAGCCACAACCUGUGCUGGUGCCUGUGCAGCCCGAGGGACUGAGUUCAUUGUUUUCACAGGGUCUCACACAUGCUAGGCAAGUGUUCUACCACUGAGCACUUAUUUAGGGUUGUGGAUAGAUCUCUUGCAGCUCAGAAUGACCUCAAAAUAAGUAGUAGCUACUGAUAAGCCUGCUUCUGCCUCCUCAGGAACUAGAAUUACAAGCAGAUGCCACCAUGUACGGUUCUGCUAGAACUGAACCCAGGACUGUGUGCUGAGCAAGCCCUGCACCAACUGGUCACGCCCCCACCCAGCCUCCUCUUUGAUUUGACUGACUGGAUUCUUAUGAUCCUGCUGGCUCUGCCUCUCAAGUGCUGGGAUUAAAGGUGUGUGCCACCACCACCUGUUUUGGCCCUUCAUUUUAAUGACUGGAACUGAGUUGUGCUUUAAAUAUAAAAUACAUACCAGACUUCACA